rnacentral:hammerhead_ribozyme from 1 species
AUACUGCUGAGGAGUCCCAUACUAGGACGAAACGGCCGUGCAGUGC